rnacentral:lncRNA from 1 species
UAUAAAUAUGAGCCAUAAUAGUACAUCUUUUUUCUCACAUGCGGUUUUAAAAGGCGACGCGUAGAACAAAGUGAAACAUGUUUCACGACAAAAUUAUAUUAUUCGCCUCCAACUUGACAGUUCAGCAUUUAGAUCAUAUGCGUAAAGAUUCGUCGCAAUUGAUGAGACAUUAAUGUCACAGUGCAAUCAAUCAGUAAAGAACAAUAAGGAAAUAAGGAAUUUCGACUAUUUAAUAGUUCAGAGAAGGAGUUGUUACUGACCAAAAUAGUAAAUGCAGCCACAUAUGUGAGAAUAUGAAACAUGUUAUGAACACGUAUGGACAGAAGUGAAGCAGUAAAUACAGACACCAGAGCGUGUUUGUGUUCUCGUUAUUUAUUCAGUGUGUCUCGUUUAGUGUACCUCUAGUAACAGGAUUCACAUUUCUCGGAGCCUAGCUUGCCCUUGUAACAUAUUUCAAACUAACUUGGGAAAAGGUUGCUUGCCUUUGCAACCCAUGUAUAACCAUAAGCCCUACCACUUAGAAAAAAAGUUGAAAUACUGUGGUUCGAUUGUUUUGUUUGGCGAUAGCAACAAUGAUUUCUAAUUUGAAGUUAUCAAAUUUCUCAGUGAUGCUAAGACUUAAUUUACGAUUGUCUGAAAGUGAAUCAGCACACGUUCAAACCGCUCUAAAGGAUUUAAAAGUGACCUUUUUUAUUUAAGCACAGUUAUUAGCUACUUCGUUUUAUACAAAUGAGUAAACAUUCUUACUAUAUGUUGAUAUUGGCUAUGUGAAUACAGCGUGGCUAAAAGUGAUCCCUGUAGUGUAUAUUGCAAUAACGUGCCCUGAUAAAUUAAUAAUUACUAACGUGUUACCUCUCUCUCUCUUUCAUGGUUAACGAAGACGGAGGAACAGGGUGAGUUUGCAACAAUAAGCCUUGUGCGAGGGCGAUGCCUUUGGGGACUGUUACGCUAAUCUUUUAUAUUUUCGUUGUUUUACGCAGAUCCCCACAGGGUACCGUGAAUGAACGAGUUCGUUUGCAUGAGGCUCAGGUAGGUGCACAUGAAAAGGCAGGAGAAAUGCUGGUGACUUUGGGUCGGCUGCUUCAGGGCGAGAACGUUGCUUUAACCAAGCAGGCCAAAAGCGACUUCAUCAAGAUCAUCCAUGCUUUGUCUGACAAUGCCGAAGACCAACGUGACGGUGGCUCCGAGUACUUCUUGCCCAUUCUCGUCCGCGCUAUAAGGCGCAUAGUGGUCCGCAAUGAGCGAAAGAACAGAGGAUAAAAAUGUGUUCGCCUCGUUCAGAUAGGAUGAAUAGGUUGUGUGCGAAUUGAAGAUUGCAAUAAAUUGUGGUAAAGACA